CUUUAUUAAUUUCUUAUAUAUAAUUUAUAUUAAAUAUAAAAAUAUAUUUUUUAWAUAAAAAGACGAUAAGACCCUAUUAAAUUUUACUUAUAGUUUAACUGGGGAAGUUUUAAAAAUAAAAUUUUUUAUAAAAAUAAAAAUAAAUCUAAUAAAAUUAAAAUUAAAUUAAAUUACUAUAGGGAUAACAGCAUUAUAUUUUUUAAAAGUUCAUAUUAAAAAAAAUGAUUGUGACCUCGAUGUUGAAUUAUAUUUUCUUUAUUAAUGCAAUAAUUAUAAAAGUAGAUCUGUUCGAUCUUUAAAAUAUUACAUGAUUUGAGUUCAAACCGGUGUAAACCAGRUUGGUUUCUAUCUUUUUAUAAAUUCAUAUAUAUAUAUAUAUAUAUAUACAUAUAAAUUUUUCAAGUACGAAAGGAAAAAAAAAUUUUUAUUUUAAUUAAUUAGCAAUUAAUAUGCAUUAGAUUUAGAAUCUAAAUAAACUAUU
rnacentral:misc_RNA from 1 species